GAGCUCCUUCUAAGUGUUCUCACGGGAAAGUCCGCCGCUCCAAUGGUCACUCCACAAAGUGUCCGCUCCGCUUCCUUUGCAGACUUUGGCCCCGUCAGUCACACACACUCUCUCUCUCUCUCUCCCUUCCUCGAUCUCAGUUCGGUCCGUUCGCCCCGGCGGGCCGCUCGCUCACUUUCCACCCGCUGUCGCUCUUCUUCCUCCUCCUCCUCCUCCUCCUGCUGCUGCUGCUGCUGCUGCGUGUAGCCUGAACAUGGCGCUGCUCCGCCGGUGAUGGGCACAGAAGUCAGCCUACAAAGCAGUUUGUUAUCCCACCAUGCCCCAAAAGCUGCAAAAUCUGAGUGACACCUGGGAAAGUUUGAAACAGAAGCUUCAGUGCUGUCGAUGGAAGAUCUAAUCUGGAUAAUGCCAGACAAACAUGAGCAGCCUCCAGGAAGCAGGCACCUAGGGAGCAAGGAAGUCAACACUCCUAUAUGAUAACUACAUGAGAAGGCCACUGCAGGAGAAUGCUGAACACUUUUGUCCAACAUGGCCUUUCUACUCCCAGCUCACGACUGGUCAAAGGUUUUAGGACGGUCAACAAAAUGGUUUUAAAGAUACCAUGAAAGUGAUUGAAUUUCACUUAAACAGCAAGGAAGAGGAUGCACUGAAUUGUUCACAGUGACUUGCUUCACCGAGUCCUAACUGCUAAUAUAGAUUGGUCUUUGUUUUAAUGCUAUUUCUCUCAUUUAUCUUACCUUUUCCAUUGUACUAUGUGCAGCUAAACCAAGUCUGCACCUCACCAUGUGUUAGAUUUGUUCCCACAAUCCUUCUUUAGGAUUGGGAUCUACUCAGGCCCAUCUGGUCUGCUGUGAUAGAAGAAAUUCACUUCCUGCUCUAAUUAGAAGAGGGUCCAUUAUUGAACAACAGAGAGUUUAUUGCACAUUAGCAACUAGUUACAGAUUAUAUUAAAAUUGAAGAGAAUCUGGAAA